UUAAUUUAAUAGUAUUACAAGUAAAAUAACCAACUAGCUAAAAUUGGAAAAAUUUUCAUUAUUUCGUAUAAUUGGCGUAGACAAUUCCUUUUAUAAUUUCCAUGAAAAAAAACUUAAAAAUAAAAUUGCAAACAAAUUUACGCAAGCAGUGUGCAAAGUAGUGAAGUAUA